GCUUGCUUUCAGCUCCCGAAUUUUUAUUGUCUGUACUUUUCCUGUAGUGAAGUAGUUUCAUAGCUCAGCAAAGCCUCAGAAUUUUUUAUGAACAGUCUCUAAAAGGCAGCUAGAUCUAGCUCUAAGACAUCAAGCAAAUGACCCAGGACUUGUUAUUUUUCUUGUUGGUUUCUGCGUAGCUAAGGCAAAGGCUUUUUCUUGGCCUCCACUCAGCAAUAUGCAAAAAGCUGAAGCUUUUAAAGUGGGAGAAGAAACAGAAGGAACAGAGGAGGUAAUUGAGAAUUAGUCACAUUUGUUAUUUUUAGCACUGCCUGAUUUUGUCUGGAAAUGGAAGUGAAACUAUAAAAACAGAUUUAUAACCAGAGGCAUCAUUUCUUUCUUGUUCGUUACUGCAAAGAACAAAACCCGCACAAAGAAGACUCUCAGGAAAUGCUGGCUGAAUGACAGAAUGAACAUUGAUAAAUGAAGACUUCUUCAAAUAACUGAUGCUAGACAUCUCUAAAUGUAAAACAAUAUUAAUUAAAAUAUUAUCUUAAUUUCAUUUAAUUGAAAACAUGGAAUUACAUAUAUGUUAAGUCAUUUUAGAAAGAAAUGUUAGAAUGUUAAGUGUUAAAAAUGUCAAUUCUGACAAGAGUCUAGAUAUAGCUAAUUUGUUCUAGAAUAUUCUUAGUAAUUACGUAGUUGAUUUUGAAUUUUUAUUUCUGAAUGUCUUCGGUAUACCUACAUGCUGGUGAAAAUGAAGACAUUCCUUUUUGCUUUUAUAGUAUUUGUAAUUUAAACAUACAUUAAUUCUUUAAUGACCUUGGAGAUAACUUUUGCAAUCAUUGUGGCUAGUCAUUGUGCCUGAAGGUUUUAUUUUUCUCUUUCUGCUGCUGAAACUAGAAUGCGCCCUUGAUUUCACACUCUUGCUGAACUGAUACUUUUGUUCCUUUCCAGAUAUCAGAAAUAACAUGUGACCAUGACAUCAUUCAUCAUUUUUCCAUCAAAACAUUUGAAAAUAACUUGGAUUCAUUUAUUAGAGCUUUAUUUUCCCACAUCUUGCAGUACCCUAGAGUUCUACAGUAAUUAACCUUAUGCUGAAUGGCAGAGGACAUGCACUAAGCUCCUAUUUAAAAUCUAUUCAUGAUGCAUUUUAAAUAUUCAGUAGAGACUUCUUAAACAUGCAGCCAUAGUCUAUUGAAAAUGGAUUUCCUAAAGCCAGGAGAUUGGAUAUUAAUAUCUGGCAUUCGUAUAAAGACAGGUUUUUGUUAACCUAUUAUAAAAAGGACUGAUGAUGUGAUUAUAUACUGUUUACUAGCUCACUUAUAUUUCUGUGCUAAUAAUUACUGUAACCCAUUUGUUUAGUUUUUUUAUUUUAUUUUCAUUAAGCAUUGUUUUUAAAAUUUUUUUAUCUUAGCUUAUGUUUGAUUUAUGUUUUUGAUUGAAUAAAGGUUGUUUGUUAAUAUAGAAU
rnacentral:lncRNA from 10 species